rnacentral:rRNA from 1 species
ACCGAAUAGAUACCCGGGUAGUCCACGCCCUAAACGAUGCGAACUGGAUGUUGGGUACAUUACGGUACUCAGUGUCGAAAGCUAAACGCGUUAAGUUCGCCGCCUGGGGAGUACGGUCGCAAGACUGAAACUCAAAGGAAUUGACGGGGGCCCGCACAAGCGGUGGAGUAUGUGGUUUAAUUCGAUGCAACGCGAAGAACCUUACCUGGCCUUGACAUCUGUCGAAUCCUGCAGAGAUGCGGGAGUGCCGCAAGGAACGACAAGACAGGUGCUGCAUGGCUGUCGUCAGCUCGUGUCGUGAGAUGUUGGGUAUACCG